rnacentral:rRNA from 1 species
AAGCCUGAUGCAGCGACGCCGCGUGAGGGAUGACGGCCUUCGGGUUGUAAACCUCUUUCAGCAGGGAAGAAGCGCAAGUGACGGUACCUGCAGAAGAAGCACCGGCUAACUACGUGCCAGCAGCCGCGGUAAUACGUAGGGUGCGAGCGUUGUCCGGAAUUAUUGGGCGUAAAGAGCUCGUAGGCGGCUUGUCGCGUCGGAUGUGAAAGCCCGGGGCUUAACCCCGGGUCUGCAUUCGAUACGGGCAGGCUAGAGUUCGGUAGGGGAGAUCGGAAUUCCUGGUGUAGCGGUGAAAUGCGCAGAUAUCAGGAGGAACACCGGUGGCGAAGGCGGAUCUCUGGGCCGAUACUGACGCUGAGGAGCGA